rnacentral:rRNA from 1 species
UGGGGAAUAUUGCACAAUGGGCGAAAGCCUGAUGCAGCAACGCCGCGUGAGUGAUGAAGGCCUUCGGGUUGUAAAGCUCUGUCUUUUGGGACGAUAAUGACGGUACCAAAGGAGGAAGCCACGGCUAACUACGUGCCAGCAGCCGCGGUAAUACGUAGGUGGCAAGCGUUGUCCGGAUUUACUGGGCGUAAAGGAUGCGUAGGCGGAUUUUUAAGUGAGAUGUGAAAUACCCGGGCUUAACUUGGGUGCUGCAUUUCAAACUGGGAAUCUAGAGUGCGGGAGAGGAGAAUGGAAUUCCUAGUGUAGCGGCGAAAGUGCGUAGAGAUUAGGAAGAACACCAGUGGCGAAGGCGAUUCUCUGGACCGUAACUGACGCUGAGGCAUGAAAGCGUGGGUAGCAAACAGGAUUAGAUACCCUGGUAGUCCACGCCGUAAACGAUGAGUACUAGGUGUAGGAGGUAUCGACCCCUUCUGUGCCGCAGUUAACACAAUAAGUACUCCGCCUGGGAAGUACGAUCGCAAGAUUAAACUCAAAGGAAUUGACGGGGUCAUAGCUGUUUUCCU